rnacentral:lncRNA from 1 species
GGGGGUAGGGGGGCGAUCACAAUGCCUGUGAGGUGCGGGGUGGGGCAGAGCUAACAACAAAGAGCAGGGAUGCGCACAGAAGAUCCACCAGCUGGCUGUGGGGCACCUUCGAACCAACACCACUGAUGGAGAGGCAAACGUCGCUCAGGCUGCCCUUGGAUUUCCCUGUCAUUUGUGCUGUGAAUUGAAAUUCUGCUGCAGGAUGUCUUCACGGAGUGAGGCAAGUGUGUCUGUUUUAUGGGGAGGCAGUGAUGGAAUGACAAACACGGGAUGUGGCUCACAUUGUUAAACACCCGAGGUACUGAAAGAAGCCAGCGUGGUCAUCCUUGUCUGUGACACACGUCUGUGUGCGUGGCCUCACCCAGCACAGAC